rnacentral:rRNA from 1 species
AGAGUUUGAUCCUGGCUCAGGACGAACGCUGGCGGCGUGCUUAACACAUGCAAGUCGAACGGAAAGGCCCUUCGGGGUACUCGAGUGGCGAACGGGUGAGUAACACGUGGGUGAUCUGCCCUGCACUUUGUGAUAAGCCUGGGAAACUGGGUCUAAUACCGAAUAUGACCAUGCACUUCCUGGUGUGUGGUGGAAAGCUUUUGCGGUGUGGGAUGGGCCCGCGGCCUAUCAGCUUGUUGGUGGGGUAAUGGCCUACCAAGGCGACGACGGAUAGCCGGCCUGAGAGGGUGACCGGCCACACUGGGACUGAGAUACGGCCCAGACUCCUACGGGAGGCAGCAGUGGGGAAUAUUGCACAAUGGGCGCAAGCCUGAUGCAGCGACGCCGCGUGAGGGAUGACGGCCUUCGGGUUGUAAACCUCUUUCAGCACAGACGAAGCGCAAGUGACGGUAUGUGCAGAAGAAGGACCGGCCAACUACGUGCCAGCAGCCGCGGUAAUACGUAGGGUCCGAGCGUUGUCCGGAAUUACUGGGCGUAAAGAGCUCGUAGGUGGUUUGUCGCGUUGUUCGUGAAAACUCACAGCUUAACUGUGGGCGUGCGGGCGAUACGGGCAGACUUGAGUACUGCAGGGGAGACUGGAAUUCCUGGUGUAGCGGUGGAAUGCGCAGAUAUCAGGAGGAACACCGGUGGCGAAGGCGGGUCUCUGGGCAGUAACUGACGCUGAGGAGCGAAAGCGUGGGGAGCGAACAGGAUUAGAUACCCCGGUAGUCCAA